UCAGUCGACUCCUACGGGAGGCAGCAGUGGGGAAUCUUGGACAAUGGGGGCAACCCUGAUCCAGCAACGCCGCGUCGGGGGGAUGAAGGCUCUCGGGGUCGUAAACCCCUUUCAGCAGGGACGAAAUUGACGGUACCUGCAGAAGAAGCCCCGGCCAAACUACGUGCCAGCAGCCGCGGUAACACGUAGGGGGCGAGCGUUGUCCGGAUUUAUUGGGCGUAAAGAGCUCGUAGGCGGUUUGGCAAGUUGGAUGUGAAAGCUCCGGGCUCAACUCGGAGAUGCCAUCCAAAACUGCCAUGACUAGAGUCCGGUAGAGGAGUGUGGAAUUCCUGGUGUAGCGGUGAAAUGCGCAGAUAUCAGGAGGAACACCAACGGCGAAGGCAGCACUCUGGGCCGGUACUGACGCUGAGGAGCGAAAGCAUGGGGAGCGAACAGGAUUAGAUACCCUGGUAG
rnacentral:rRNA from 1 species